rnacentral:rRNA from 1 species
UACGGAGGAUCCAAGCGUUAUCCGGAUUUAUUGGGUUUAAAGGGUGCGUAGGCGGCCUGUUAAGUCAGGGGUGAAAGACGGUAGCUUAACUAUCGCAGUGCCCUUGAUACUGAUGGGCUUGAAUAUACUUGAGGUAGGCGGAAUGUGACAAGUAGCGGUGAAAUGCAUAGACAUGUCACAGAACACCAAUUGCGAAGGCAGCUCGCUACACGAAUAUUGACUCUGAGGCACGAAAGCGUGGGGAUCAAACAGG